CCAGGAGAACUCCAGAGAAGGGGAAAUGGCUGCCAGGUCUUCAGAUUGUUCCGUCAGGCAAGUCCAUUGCAGCAAAAAUAUUUGCACUGAAAGAAGCUCUGAACGAUCACACUGGUGAGCAAGGAUUCCAUACUGUCAUGUCUACAAGGCCAUUUUAAAGUGGCUGGAAAUCAAGUUUUUUCAGAAGACAUACUCCUGGAAUCCCAGAACAGCUUCUGCCCCUGUAGAAGAACAGUGGAUACAAUCUUAACUUCAUGACAACUUCCAAGAAUAUGCAGGGAACAAUAUCAACCUCUGUACCUGGUAUUCACUGAUCUUGCAAAGGCAUUCAACAUCAUAAUGCUUUCUGGACCAUACUCCUAAAAAAUCGGAUGUCCUGACAAAUCCGUGAUCAUCCUACAGCUUCUUCAUGAUGGCAACAGUCUUGUACAGCUAUGGCUCCCAAAGCAACCCAUUUAAGGUGGAUUCACGUGUGAAAUGGAUGUGUUAUUGCUCCAACUAACCCCCCUAUAAUGCCAGAAAUACAGCUUAAUGGUGUAACGUUAGAAAAUGUUGCCUACUUCCUCUACCUUGGCAGCUAUCUCUCAACAAAAGUCAAUAAAAGUCAAAAUACAACAA